AGUGAACGCUGGCGGUAGGCCUAACACAUGCAAGUCGAACGGCAGCACAGUAAGAGCUUGCUCUUACGGGUGGCGAGUGGCGGACGGGUGAGGAAUACAUCGGAAUCUACUUUUUCGUGGGGGAUAACGUAGGGAAACUUACGCUAAUACCGCAUACGACCUACGGGUGAAAGCAGGGGAUCUUCGGACCUUGCGCGAUUGAAUGAGCCGAUGUCGGAUUAGCUAGUUGGCGGGGUAAAGGCCCACCAAGGCGACGAUCCGUAGCUGGUCUGAGAGGAUGAUCAGCCACACUGGAACGGAGACACGGUCCAGACUCCUACGGGAGGAAGCAGUGGGGAAUAUUGGACAAUGGGCGCAAGCCUGAUCCAGCCAUACCGCGUGGGUGAAGAAGGCCUUCGGGUUGUAAAGCCCUUUUGUUGGGAAAGAAAAGCAGCAGGUUAAUACCCCGCUGUUCUGACGGUACCCAAAGAAUAAGCACCGGCUAACUUCGUG
rnacentral:rRNA from 1 species